UACGAAGGGGGCUAGCGUUGCUCGGAAUUACUGGGCGUAAAGGGCGCGUAGGCGGAUAUCUAAGUUGGGGGUGAAAUCCCGGGGCUCAACCUCGGAAUUGCCUUCAAAACUGGAUAUCUUGAGUUCGGGAGAGGUGAGUGGAACUCCGAGUGUAGAGGUGAAAUUCGUAGAUAUUCGGAAGAACACCAGUGGCGAAGGCGACUCACUGGCCCGAUACUGACGCUGUAGAGCGAAAGCGUGGGGAGCGAACAGG
rnacentral:rRNA from 1 species